AUUCGCUACAACACCGUGAUUGCUACAGCUAUUACAGUCCAUAGAUAUCUUAUAUACACUAGAUAGUGCAUCUAAUUAUUCUACAAUUUAAAAAUUGAAGCCGUGAUUGCAGACUCAGGAUAUUCCCAUGAAAUGAGAAGAUUCGUAUGUUUUCUAUUUCUUAAACACGGAACUUAAAUAUUAAGGUAAACCUAUUCCAAAUACAUUUUUAAACUAUUCAAAUGAUGAAAGUUAUUGUUGUUUUUAAAGCGUUUAUUAGCGAGUGGGAAACGCCAACAUGGCCGCCAUCUAUUCAUGGGGGUAACCGCUGG